AGCAGGCAGACAUCAACCAUCUGCCACCGAAUACAUUAGCAUGGGAUAAUGGAAUAGGACCCUGUCCUCCUAUUUUCAGUUGGUUUUCGAGGACCAGGGUAAUGAUUAAUAGGGAUAGUUGGGGGCAUUAAUAUUUAAUUGUCAGAGGUGAAAUUCUUGGAUUUAUGAAAGAUUAACUUCUGCGAAAGCAUCUGCCAAGGAUGUUUUCAUUAAUCAAGAACGAAAGUUAGGGGAUCGAAGACGAUCAGAUACCGUCGUAGUCUUAACCAUAAACGAUGCCGACCAGCGAUUAGGAGACGUUGAAUACAAAACACCACCAUCGGGCGGGUCGUCCCUGGCCGGUGUCGUCCGUCGCGGCAACGCGGCGGGCGGCCGGUGGGGGCGGUCCGUUUCCCCGAUGGCCCGGUGAAU
rnacentral:rRNA from 1 species